rnacentral:tRNA from 1 species
UGGGGGUUCGGCUAACGGCAGGCCGCCGAGCUUUGACCUCGGUCGUGCAGGUUCGAGUCCUGCACCCCCAGC